rnacentral:rRNA from 1 species
AGAGUUUGAUUAUGGCUCAGGAUGAACGCUGGCGGCGUGCUUUAUACAUGCAAGUCGAACGUGAAGCUGACUUCGGUCAGUGGAAAGUGGCGGACGGGUGAGUAAUACAUAGGAAAUCUGCCCUUAGGAAGGGGAUAACAGUCGGAAACGAUUGCUAAUACCCUAUAUGAGCUUGGUUGCAAUACCAAUCUUGAAAACUCCGGUGCCUAAGGAUGAGCCUGUGCCUGAUUAGCUUGUUGGUGGUGUAAUGGACCACCAAGGCGACGAUCAGUAGCUGGUUUGAGAGGAUGAUCAGCCACAAUGGAACUGAGACACGGUCCAUACUCCUACGGGAGGCAGCAGUAGGGAAUUUUGGGCAAUGGGCGAAAGCCUGACCCAGCCAACGCCGCGUGUGUGAUGAAGCCCCUAGGGGUGUAAAACACUGUCAGUAGGGAAGAAUCAAUGACUGUACCUACAGAGGAAGCACCGGCUAACUCCGUGCCAGCCGCGGC